CAAAAGACCAUGAUGGGAAGAGUAAGCGGACACUCCUUAUUCCAGAGAGCCGGGGUAGCUGAGAACCGGCAUAAGUGAGCAAGCUGAACAUGGACCCAGAGUCUCGCAGAUGAACAUGAGACGGCACACCGUUUCCAGUAGUCUGCGACGCAAGCCCACGUUACGGGUAGAGUCAAUCCUUGACUCACCAAGUCCGUCAUCCGCGAGGAGACGGAAUGUUUGGGUGGUACCGCGAGUUAGAGCUCGCCCCAAUU
rnacentral:ncRNA from 1 species